AUUGUUUAUGUUCAAAAUUCUCUUUGGAAAAGAUUUGCAAAAGGAGAUAAAAAGAAAAAAAACCCCAGCCAACCCCCUGGGCCUAAUCCCUUUCCCCGGCCCAGCUCCCCUCUUCCCCCCCUUCUCUUUUCUUCCCCUUGCGCGCGGCCCAACCGGCCCAGCUCCCUGCGCGCAGACUUCCCUCCUCCUCCUUCUCUUUUCGCUGACAAUCGGGCCCCACGUGGCAGCGCCCUUCCCCCC
rnacentral:lncRNA from 1 species